CAAUCGUUCCUUCUUACAUAUCUGCUUUUCUUCUGAAACUAGAUAGAUCUGUACCCAGCUAUACCUACUGUUUUUAAACAGAUUGGUUCUUCUCUAUUGGACCACCUAUUUCUUGCUCUUCCACGGAGUUCUCCCCACCAAGAAGCUCUUGCUAUUUUUCUUCUGGUGCCUGAGUGCUGUGUUGCUCUUGAAGCACACAGGAUACCGUCACUAGCUUUAAAGUUUGCUGAAGCUGUCACAGGUCUGAGCAAAGGAUCUUCCAACAUUCUAGAAAAUUAUUGGUCCUUGUUGCCAGAUCUGUUUUUAGAGCAAAUAGUUCAAAUGUUGAAGACGUGUGUUUCAGCCAUGUUGCCUUAUUAUAAUGUUUGUCGCAAAGACAAGUCAUGUUUUGAUACCCUCGAAGUGCUUAAAAAGCUGUAUAAGGUCAACAUGAAGGCUAAAUGCCCACUGCAAACAAGUACCUUCUGCAUAGAUGAAAUUCCUCAAAAAAUUGACCUAAAAGAAGAUUUUUGCAGAUGGGGGUUACAUAAAGACCAUAAAAUCCCAGAAGAAGACAGCUUAAUCUCUUUCUGCCUUUUUCCUUUUGUCUACAAUGUAUCAACCAAAAGGAAAAUACUUUAUUACGGGUCCUUCGUUGUACAA